GCCUUCUUGGCUCAGUUGGCUAGAGCGCAGGUCUCAUACUUACGUGUGACGUAAUUUGAUUACGAAAUCCUGAGGUCGCAAGUUCGAGCCUUGCAGGGGGCA